GUUGUGUCUCCUAUGGUGAACCCCCUUAUUCCUCCAUCCCGUCUGACCGCCCCCAGGAACGGUUCCAUGGAGAGGGCAAACAGGAAGGGGGAAAGCGGGCAGCCCUGUCUCGUCCCGUUUUGGAUAAGAACUGGUGCUGAGAGAGCGCCAUUGACCCGCACUCUAGCAGUCGGAACCAUAUAUAGGGAGAGAAUCCAGGUCAUCAAGUGUGGGCCAAAACCCAUAGCCUGCAGUGUAGCCUUCAGGUACCUCCAGUCCAUCCGAUCGAAAGCCUUCUCCGCGUCAGGGCCCGGGCAUUUUUUUAAUUACUGCAGCCCACUUAAAAGGGUGCGGGGCCAGAUAGGGCGUGUUUUGUCAUCACCAAUGACAAGCACGCCCCAUCACAAAGUGAGCAUGUCGGUUCAAUGCUCUUCCAGGGUAGAUAAUGCGCAGAGCUCUGCUGAAGAGCUCUGGCAUGAGAAAAAG